rnacentral:lncRNA from 1 species
UCGGGAAACUGGUUCUAUCAAGGUUGUAGUGUCCAAAUAGUGUAUUUUGUAGAAUUCCAGUAAAGAUGGCAAAGAAUCAAACUCCUGGUCACCUAUUCGAAAUCUGGUGGGAUUCAACCCCGGGGCCCCAGGGCCCUCGCCGCCGGCCCUCCGGCCUCCCGCCGGCCCCAGGCUGUUGACGAUGUAGUGCGAGACGCGGGAGCUCUCGGACACCGAGAGCACGAAGUCGCCGGGGAUGGAGCCCGAGUCGCGCACCAGGAAGGUCCCGUGGCGUUGCCCCUGCAGCAGCGACACCGCGUCGCCCCGGCUCAGCCGCCCCCAGUACCAGCUCCCCCGGUCCUCGGAGUCGAACUGCCCGGCCAUGAGGGCCGCCCCACCCGCAGGCCGCACUCGCUGCCCCCGCCCCGCGGGCCGCCGCAGCCCGCGGUGCCCCGCUCCGCGCCCAGCCCUGCUACACCAAAAUGGCGG